rnacentral:rRNA from 1 species
CCCCUAGACGUUCUGGGCUGCACGCGCGCUACAAUAAUACGCACAGCGAGUAUCACCGAGCUCGAAAGGGCAAGGUAAACAAUAGAAAAGGUACUGUAAUGGUUAUAGAUCCUUGUAAUUAUUGAUCUUCAACGAGGAAUUCCUAGUAAGUAUGUGUCAUCAUCACGCACUGAUUACGUCCUUGCCCUUUGUACACACCGCCCGUCGCUCCUACCGAUUGGGUGAGCCGAUGAAACUCUCGGAUGUAGGCUAUUCAUAGCCCGCAGAAGAGAUUUGAAUCGUAGCGCUUAGAGGAAGGAGAAGUCGUAACA